GGCGAUAAAGCUGCCGGAGUCCGCGGCGGCGGAGGCGGCUGCGGCGAGCAAGGAGGCUGACGACGCACAAUGCAAAGACGGCUUUUCAGAGCAGCCAGUGGGGCAGGACAAUGUUUUUCAUCAAAUGUCCUUAGAUUUGGAGGAGGGUAAGAGUUGUUUUUUUUUUCUCUCUCUCUCUCAGAGAAAAGCAUGCCCCCAAAAGACAUUCCACAACUGCAUACUCUGGCAAGUCACUUAACAUGAAAUUUUUCUCUAUAUAUUACACUUACCUGAUGCACAGGGCAGCGUGUUGAAAGUUUCCUCCUUUGCUAUUCCUUCAGGCUUUAUAUUGACAAAAAAAAAAAAAAAAAGUAAAGCGAUACUGAAUGUAUAAAAGAAAAAUUAAACACUUGAAAGCAAAGGAGAAAAUGGUGGUGAAAAAUUGGAUUGUAGAUCUAUCCACAUUCUUGGGAAUUAAAUGUCACUGUGAGAUGCAUGUUAGAUAAUACUGUAUGAAAUAAUAAGGGCUCUGAGACUCACAGAGAGUAGACUUACGUACCUCAACUAGUAAGGCCUUGACUACAGUGUCCUUCUGCGCAAGUGGUGGGACGUCAGUCAACUCAUUGUCACACACUUCCUGAGAAUGCAUGGCUUCCGCAGUGGCUGUGAAAUUCACCUUUCCUGGGGAAUAAAGUUCUUAAGAGUUAAACGGUGAUUCUAUAUUGAACAGUUUCUUCUUUUCCAGUUUCCCCAGUGUAUCCAGUGGUUGUCUUCCUCUUGAUUAAUAUUAAAGGAGGAGAAAAAGUGUGUAUUGGGGUCAGUGCAGAAAACAAAUCAUCCAAGCACACGAAGUGGAAUUUGCUAAUAGCAUUACUACUCACCCAGUGACUUCGGAGUCACAACCCAGGACACGGUUUUCCGCCCAUUUCUACAGACACAGUGAGAUUCUUCAUUCUUCUCUGUUGGAACAGCCAGGAAAGCGGAAGAGACCUCCAGCUGCACAACGACCUGUCCCCCACACCCAACCACAAGUUUAUGAAGGGAUGCAGAACAGCAUGAAUACUGCAAAAGAUGCUCUGUGCAUCAGAACGUCCAGAAGAGAGAGAUUUAAAUUGCUUUCAGCUAAGCUGUAGACCUCUAGCAGAUGAACGACAUAUUUUCCUGAAGGACUUGCUUCGGUGUGGAAGUGAUUCCGCUGUGAGUUGUGUCUUUUGCGUUGUUGCACUCUUCAUCAUAUUCAUCCGCAGGACCUCCAGCUCUAAAGGGUGUGAAGAGGAUACUGACCCACCAGAAAGAGACCCCACUGCUAGAACGAAUAAGAUGUGCUGAAAGCCGGAGCAUAACUUGGCCAUUCCCAAGAUUUAACAACAAACUAACUACCCAUCAUUAACAGUAAAGCAGAAAGAAAACAAUCAGUAAGAGAUUAUAUAGACCUAAGAGAUGUUACAGACCGAAGAAGAACCUAUGGAGGAAGACAGGAAGAUGAGAGAGAUUUGAAGAUGGUAUGUGGCUGAAUUUGAAGAUAGAGAAAGGAACCGCAAGCAAAGAAUGCAAGAGGUCUCUAGAAGCUGGAAAAGGCAAGGAAAGAGUCUCCCCUCAAGCUCCAGCAGGAAUGCAGUCCUGACACCUUGAGUUUAGCCUAGUGAGACUUCUGACCUCCAGAACUAGAAGAUACAAGUGGUGUUUUAAGGCACUAAAACGAAGAACUAGAAGUAUUGUUUUAAGCCCAUAAAUUUGUGAUAAUCUGUUACAGUAGUAAUAGGCAAUGCAUACACAAGCACACAAAGUAAAAUUUUUCUGUGGUUAUUUUCCAUAUUUUUUCAGUUAUUUUCUGCCUUUUGAAGACAUUAAAGACAUAAAAUGAAUAUGUAUUAGUUUAGGAAUAAAAUUUAAAAUGUAGGAAUGCUAUAAAAGAAGAAAAAAUUUUAACUGGGCUAAAGCAAACCCAGUAUGUCAUCCUAUUACAUCAGCUUCUUCAUCUUUGGAUGAAGAGGUUGGUGACUGUUUCUUCUAAUGUGAGAAUAGCUCCAAAUUGCUAAAUUGUUCAGAAUUUGACAAGAUGAAAGAGGAAAGAAAAAGGAAAUCUUGAAAACAUUUACUGUUUCCUUGUUCAAUGGAUAACACAUGGAUUCCUGAUUGGGAGAUUUUUCCUCUUGCUUUGAUCUGAAGGCAGAAGGAAAUAUAUUCAUUAUUGUUUAAAAGAAUACAUUUUAACCUAACUUUAAAACAUUCAUGAUAUAUUUGUGAACCAUAAUCU
rnacentral:lncRNA from 1 species